AGUGUCAAGAUAAUGGGAGACAAAGAAAGAAUGAGGACCUUUCACCAAUUAGAGACAGACUGAGAGAGCUUGGGGGUUCAAGCAGCAGAACGCAGCUACUCACAAACUCCUGACUUAACAGAAGAAAGAGACUCAUCUCUCAGGAGGAAGGGCUUCCACUUUGAAAGAGCUUCUGGAGGGAAACGUGGAGUGUGCUUAACGGGAAAAGGAGACCAGCCUAGCAGCCAGGUUUUAUACAUUUUGUGCUAACAUCCUGACUUCUAAGCUGGAGAUACAGCCAAGAAUGGGCAUUCCAUUAGAAUGUCAAACCAUACUAAACAGAUCAUUCGAAAUUUUUUGUUUGCCUCAUGCUUUUUGAUGCCACGUUCUCUUUUUUAAAUCAUACUGAUUACAAUUGCAAGAAAGUAUGACAUAAAUGCUUUUUAUCCUGAUACAUUUGGAUAAAAAUAAUGAAAACUCAAUAACUCUUUCACUGUAACGCUUCAUGGAACAGUCCAAUUGUUGCAAGAAGAAGCCCACCACACGUGGAUUUUUCAGUCACUUAACUCUACCUCUCAGGUUUUCAUG